rnacentral:sRNA from 1 species
UACCCCUCUUUCAGGGUGGUACAGAGUUCAAACAACAGAGAAGAGGGAAAGAACAUUGUGAUGUGCGUAAGUGCCUGCUGUUCUCCAAGCAGUUCAUGCACCAGGGCAACGUGGCUGAGACCACCCGAUUUGAGAAGCUUGCUCAGGACCGCAAGAAACAGCUGGAGAUCCUGCA